GAGAUGGAUUGGUGCCUUCGGGAACUGUGAGACAGGUGCUGCAUGGCUGUCGUCAGCUCGUGUUGUGAAAUGUUGGGUUAAGUCCCGCAACGAGCGCAACCCUUAUCCUUUGUUGCCAGCGAUUAGGUCGGGAACUCAAAGGAGACUGCCAGUGAUAAACUGGAGGAAGGUGGGGAUGACGUCAAGUCAUCAUGGCCCUUACGACCAGGGCUACACACGUGCUACAAUGGCGCAUACAAAGAGAAGCGACCUCGCGAGAGCAAGCGGACCUCAUAAAGUGCGUCGUAGUCCGGAUUGGAGUCUGCAACUCGACUCCAUGAAGUCGGAAUCGCUAGUAAUCGUGGAUCAGAAUGCCACGGUGAAUACGUUCCCGGGCCUUGUACACACCGCCCGUCACACCAUGGGAGUGGGUUGCAAAAGAAGUAGGUAGCUUAACCUUCGGGAGGGCGCUUACCACUUUGUGAUUCAUGACUGGGGUGAAGUCGUAACAAGGUAACCGUAGGGGAACCUGCGGUUGGAUCACCUCCUUACCUUAAAGAA
rnacentral:rRNA from 1 species